rnacentral:ncRNA from 1 species
AGGUGGAAGAGGGUAGCAAUAACAGGUCCGUGAUGCCCUUUAGAUGCUCUGGGCUGCACGCGUGCUACAAUGUUAGGAUCAAUAGGACUGCGAGCCUGAGAGGGUGCGCUACUCUUAUAAUCCCUAACGUAGUUGGGAUUGACGUUUGUAAUCAGCGUCAUGAACCAGGAAUCCCUUGUAAAUGUGUGUCAACAACGCACGUUGAAUACGUCCCUGCCCUUUGUACACACCGCCCGUCGCUCCUACCGAUUGGAUGACUCGGUGAAAUCACCGGAUGCUUACGAGCAGAAAGUGAUUAAAUCACGUUAUCUAGAGGAAGGAGAAGUCGUAACAAGGUAACGGUAGGUGAACCUGCCGUUGGAUCAGUU